rnacentral:lncRNA from 1 species
UGGAAAAUUUCUCUUUUCAAUCUUUUCCUCUUUUUGGCGUGGAAAUAUUUGAUUGGAACGGAUUGGGAGAGGCGGAAUUUAUCGAACGUUUGAAAAUUGCGUAAUCUCAGAAUUGGAAUAUUUAAACUUCGCUAUACAAGGUUAUGCAAGAGAGAGGAUGGCUCUGGAUGGAAGAGACAAUUCGGGGAGAGACAGAGAAUGGACGAGGCGAAGGUGUGGCGAGAGACAGGGACGAAUGAGUUGAUCCGCAGCGCCGGUGGAUGACGUCGUGUUUACCCAACUUUCUAUUUAUUCCCGUUCGUUCCGCUUUUAAAUUAUCCGAAAGGAUUCGGGAAACUGCAGCUGCUACAUCCUAUUACUCAUCGGCUGGCAUCAUAAAAUACCGGUUAUUUACAUAGACGGACUCUUUAACGCCGUUCCUAUAAAUUAUACAUACUCGAUUAUCCCCCUCCGAUUCGAAAUUAAACUUCGGCAGCAUUAAAAUUUUAAUCGUUGGCCAACUCUCUUAGGUAAUCGAAAGGUGAAAAUAAUCCCCAAGGAACAAAGAAAUUUACCUUAUCUUACGUAAAUUAUAAUUGCAGCAAAUAUAUCCUUCUCUCUAUUCGACUAUUGAUGAAUAUCUGAAAAUUUUUCUACUGAAAAUAAAAAUAAAAAAAUCGUAACGAGAUCGAUUCAAAUCUAAAUUCCAAGAAGAUCCUGUCUUUCGAUUCUUAAUCGUCGAAGGAGCGAGAAAAUCGACGAACAAGAUCGAUGCAAUUAAAGCGUCUAUCGAUAAGCGAUUACUGAUAUUGGUAUCGGAUCGAGUUCAUCAUCGAUUCAGCGACAUCCGAACCGAUAUUUCAUCGACGGUGAAUUUUUCAUCUUCGAGACGAAACGUGGACUUACCAAGGACUUUUUCACAUUUUCGACGAGAGAACGAGCCAACAAACACACGUGGGGGCAGUCUACGGUUGCAUCUAUAAUCCAGGAAGCCUCUGUAUACACACGAGAGAGGGGCAGACGUUUGCUCAGCUUUUAUUCCUCCAGAUGCCAGGAAAAAGUCGGAAAAAACGGAAUCUCCUUCCUUUUCCAACUUUCGGGGAUCUUUCCAAAACUUUUCCCCUCGAAUGCAAACGAAUUUUUCGCGCCUGCGUUUGAACGUAUUUAACUCUAAUUUUUAAUCGAAAGCUUCUUUUAAAGUAGACUAUAUUUUGACUUCGACUUUGUUUUCUUAAAAUAUGGUAAAAUUUAUUUAUUUUUGAAAUCGAUUCAAAAUGAUUUGGAAUGGAAAAUAAAAUUCGCCCAAAGAAAUUCUUAAUAAAGAAGCUUAAGUUAAAAUAGAUCAAUUCAUUUUUCGAAUUCCAACAAAAUCAUCUCUCAUUUCAGAAUUCAUCGUGAAACGAAACUUUUCCCCAUUUUAUCCAAAGUUCGAUCAAAGAAGACGGAAUGGAUGGAACCAAUUAAAAAUUAAUCACUCGAAAUUUGAUCCCCGGCUAAUUAACCGGAUACGAAAAGUUUAAUCGCAUACCACGCGUAAUUAAUCGUUCCAAGCUCGCCUCGAAACGAACAGAGAGAGAAACUAUGUGGAUACGUGUCGCGGGCAAGAAUUUGCCAAUCCAGCGUUGAUAAACGGUGUUUCGCGACUUGGCGGUCAUACGAAUCCUCCUCUUGCACAACAGGAAACGUGCCUGUUUUACUGGCCUACCACACUUUAAAUAAAAGAAGAGUUACUUGUAAUAAAAAUUCGAUCGACCAAAAACUCUUGCUCUGACUCCUUUCCUUUCGAAAAAAAAAAAAAAGGAAGAGAUGCGUGUGGAACAAAUUUAUUUCCGUUUAAUGCAAUGAUAAAUCGCGGGGAUAAUUUGAAACUUUUCCAUCGGGGAUAAACGUCCGUUGGAGAGGAACGAAUCUGGAAUUCAACGACUCUCGCUCUUGGGAAGGGAGGAGAGGAAAAAUUUCGAAGAAACUCGCCAGGCUGGUUUUAUUAUUGAUAAAAAACGAAAAACAAAAAGUACGUCGGUUGCGCGAGGAUGUUAAUGGAUUUUCGAAACGUCCUGUUAAUUGAAUGUAACUAAAUUUUCUGCGUGAACGGCUGCAAAAAGCCAUUCUCUGGUGUUGUCUCUCGUUCGAUUCAAAAAUCUCGGCUAACUUUCACCCCACUUACGGCUAGCUGUAAGUGAGAUGCGCGAGGAUUGAAAAUUGAAAAGAUCGAUUGUGAUUGUUUCGAUGACGUUUCGAUAAAUAUUCUGAUUCUAAAUAUCAAUAUAUUAUCCGUGCAAUGCAAAGAUAUUUUUGUAUAUUAACCGCGUUGUUUCUCCAUUUUCCUUUCAAUAACGUUAAUACGCAACGUGACCGAUAUCAGUUUCGAGUAAGUUAAAGCAGCUAAUUAACGAAAUGCCAUUAAAGUAAAACCAUUACGCGCAUUAACACUAAUCUUAUCGACAAAUCGUUCAUGACGUUCUUUACCGUUUAUCGGUAAAACUUUGUUCUUAUUUUCUACGUGUUCUAAUUCUCCUUUUCAAAAAAUACUACCAGUUCUUAUUAAUGUUGAAUUUUGGAACGACAAUUCUUCCUUUCUUAUAUCAUUCAAAAUGUAUAUCAACAAUUGUUAAUCAAUCAAUAAAUUCCAGUAAGCCAAGUUGAAGAACAAAGUAA